rnacentral:misc_RNA from 1 species
GGCGGGCCUACAUUGGUUCAAGUGGGUUCAUAUGAACCCACUAAAACAAGUGUGACCCUUACUCAAGUGGUGAAGAGGGUUCAAAUUUCCCAGCCAAUCUGAGUUCGAAUCCCUAUAGCCACAUUUUAGUUUACAUCUUGAACGCACUUCGUGAAAAUUCUGGGUCCGCACUUCGUGAAAAUUCUGGGUCCGCCACUGGCAGCCAGUAUUUUGAAGAACUCAGAGGUGUGGCAGAGAGAUGACACGUGCAGUGCUCAUUUCAUUAGCUCCUUUUCUUUCUGUAGAAGAUCUCCUCCUUGUUCGCAUGGCAGACAAAAGAUGUAA